GAGUUUGAUCUUGGCUCAGGAUGAACGCUAGCGGCAGGCAUAAUACAUGCAAGACGAACGGUAACUUGAGUAGCAAUACUUGAGCUAGAGUGUCGUACGGGUGCGUAACACGUAUGCAACCUACCUUUUACAGGAGUAUAGCUCGGUGAAAACCGAAUUAACCCUCCAUAAUAUGUUCGAGUGGCAUCACUUAAACAUUAAAACUGCGGUGGUAAAAGAUGGGCAUGCGUUUGAUUAGUUAGUUGGCAGUGUAACGGACUACCAAGACGAUGAUCAAUAGGGGACCUGAGAGGGUG
rnacentral:rRNA from 1 species